GCGGACGCUGUGCUGCCUGUCGGGAAGCUGCUGCCGCCGUGGCGGAGAAGGGCAGCAGUGAGGGCAGCGAGGCAGGGGCGGGGCUGGCCCCGCGGCCUCAGGCCCGGGCAGGGGUGGUGGCAGUGGGAAGGGUUCAUUUUAGGUGCUUUUCUUUUAUAAAUAAUACUGUUAAUAGUAGCGUCAUGUUGAAAAGGACUUUUCCCCCUGGCCUGCAGACGGGUGUUGCGGGUUAGGAGCGAUUUUUAGCCUUCAGAAAGUUCCAGGCCCAAUCCUCUUGGUUCAGCACUGAGCUCAAAACCAGGGAGCUGAAACUGUUGACCGCACCUGCCAGCAAAGGGCAAGAGCAGAAAGCUGCAAUGCUCAUUGUGAGUUAUGGCAUCAUUCACCCCAACUUGGUGUGCUGAAACCAACAACAGUGGGAUGGAGACCCUGCACACCAGAUUCAACGAGAGGUCCCCACAACGACGGAAAUGCUGUUUUGGUCUCAAUUUCUAUUUUCAUCUUUCUCCAUUACGUUAUCUGAAGAGCAACAAGAACAGAUGGAUGCUUCCUUAACACCUGCUGCUGUGGGAGUCUUCUGAAACACUUGCAAUGUUUUUGUAGCUCCUAGACACAUGGACUGUCACCUGUUUACACCACUGUCCACCUCCAUGUGGGCCAGCAGUGCUCUGCCCCAGGACUCAGUUUUCACACAGCAGCAUGGAGACAAGCCAGCUGGAAUGGGCAAGUCCGUGGUUUUCUGGAGAACAGAGGAGUUAUUUACAUAAAGCACAUUCUUCUAGUCAGCAAUUUCCAAUAAAACCAUGAAAACUAUACUUUCAGGUUUGAUGAAGAAGUAUGAAAAACUACAGAAUCUCUCUGUGUGAAGAGGAAAAGCAAAACAAAAUUGUGAUGGAAAAAUGAAGCAAUUAAAACAAAAGCAGGAAGGUUUUUUUAAGCCUGCUUGUAGCACUGAGACUGAAGGACACUAGAAUGGCCUGCGAAUUCCUUCUGUCUGGCCACUGGAGCCCAGCCCGGUGCCCAGGGAUGUGGGGCCUCUAUUCAGACUGAUGGACAUGGCUGAUGCUUUUCCCUUUGUGGAAAAGCUAAUUUUGUGUUGAAGACUAUGAGCAAGCAGGUGGAAUGAGAAGAAACAGAAGAGGACUCACAAAACAUAUGGACUACAUUUUUCAAUAUUAGGCAUAAUCUAGUGUGUAUUUAUAAAUUACACAUAUAGAAACUAACAGAAUGUAAAUGACUGUGUGCAACAGCAAUACCUGACUUGUACUGCACAGGAGGCAUUGGAUUAAUGAAUCAACUGCAUAUUUCAAGUUUUGAGUGUCUAGUUUUGAAAUUUUAGCCCAUAUAUCCAUUUACUCCAAUAAGUAGCAGUAAUAAGUAAAUCACUUUUACUCUUAUCUGUGUAAAUGGUACUUAUGCAAGGAAAAUAGACAGACAUUUGGACAAGAGGAAAAUGGUUGGUCUAGCUCUUUUUGUCUCUAUCUGGAGACGUAUUCCAUAAUGCAAAAACAGAGGCUACAAAAAACUCUUAACAUACUGGAGUAUGAAGUGUUAUCUGUUAGAAAAAAAAAGGAAACUCACAGACAGCUUGUUUAUGACUUUAAGAGUGUAAACACACAUCUAUUUUAUUUAAUUCGGUAAUCCUCUGACAAAACUUGUGAUGUGUUUGAUCAUCAGACUUCUUGUUCAGCUUCCAUCAUAGAAGUAUCUCUGCUUUCCUCAGGGGUAUUGACAGCUGGCAGCAAUCAAAGUCAUCUAACUGCCAGUAUCUCAUUUAAAGGGAAUGACAUUCAGCUACAAAACACCAAAAUUACUUUAAAUCACUGCACAGUACUGUACUAUGCAUCUCAAUGAAAAAAUACAACCUCUCUUAGAAAUGGAGACAUUUAGACCCUUUUUUCUGGGAAGGGUUUUGUUCGCUAACCAGUACCUCGAAGGUGAGCAGUGCACGACAUCACUUGUUCUUGAGCGAGACUCAGGCAUAAGUCAGCCAUGUCUAUCAUAAUCCACUUUGAAUAUGUUGUCUUUGACUUAAACAAUAUGAAGCAAUCUUCUUGAGAAUUAGUGUAAUCGGUUUAUCUGUGGCCUUUCAAACAGAAGCAGCAUAUUUCAGUAAAUCACACUUUCAAAACAAAUCAUUCCACCUAUCUGGCUUUUGUUUGUGGCAAGCCAAGUACAAGUUGUCCUAUAAUGUGCUGGAGUAGAGUCCCAUGUAAUUUUUCUUCUUCCUUCUAUCUUGUUUUCUAGGAUUCUUAAAGAAGAAAAGUCAAACCAACAAGUUUUUUAAUGACAGGGAUAGAAGGCGAGAGAACUUUUCCUGAAAAUUUCCAGUGAUAUAAGGCUCUCUCGGCACCUUGUCCUGACUGAAAAAUGUUAGGACCUUAGUCUCUUAACUAUACACUUAACAGUGUAUAUUAAAUAGCCUAGAACUACAAAGUGGCUCUCCAGCAAUUCCCAGCUUGUCCCAGUGUCAGGUUUCGAUAUAGCACAACUCUCUAGAAAAGUGAAAAGGACAAAAUGAAUGACCCAUUACUCUAGGGAAUUAUAUAUAUUGCUGUACUGAUGGACUAACUGGGACUAGUGAUGGGACUGGCACAAUCUUUUUCUGUGAUGUACAUACACUGUCAUCACUUGUAACUUCUGCAGAGUAGUGGGGUCAAUUUUGGUUUUUACUUAGCAUGUUGGUAAUGUCCUGGUUACCAGAGCAUGAACAGGUCUGUAUUGAAAUUUCAACCCAUGUGUUUCUCUACCAUAUGCCUAUCAUCUUUUUAGUCCUUCAAGUCAGUAGUUUCAGAGCACUGUAGGCUCCUUAAGCCUAUUUUGGCCCUCCUAAAUUCAGUUCUCAGGCAAAUAGCUACGUCAUGCUUUUAUGUAUUAAUUCGGAAUCUUCAGCUGUGUACUUUAGUUUUCCAUUUUCCAUCAGGACUUUUCUCAGAUGUCUCUUCUUUCCUGGCAUUAUACAUUUGGUUUCUGCAUCACUCACAGACUCUUAAAUAUUUUCAUAUUUUUUUUAAAAAUGCAUAACACAUUUGAGUAGAAGGACCCAUCCCGAGUCAGGCUUCACAGUAUAUUGACAUGAUGAAGUUACUUAAACAUUUAGCUUGAGAUAAUUAAAAGCUAUGAAGCUUAACAAGUGACAUAAACAGAUAUAGUUGGAAGUAAAGGAUGUUCUGAUGGUCUUCCUCCUCAUUCAGUGCUUAGAUGGCAAAUAUAAAUGUUCCUUAAAUCUUUUAUUUUUCUUUCAGAAUCCAGGUUAAAGUUCUAGUGAUCUUUUACAUCUUAGUUACAUCCUUUUUACAUCUUUUACUACAUCCUAGUUUUCAACUCAGAUUAUUUCCUCUACCAUUUACUCAUAAUACUUGUGUUCAACAGCCAUGGUAGGGAAAAGCACUUAGAUGGGAUCUUAUUUAUUCAGUGACAAGUUCCAAAUGUUUCUGCAUAACAGAACAGACACUAUUGUAGUUCCUCCUUUGGCUCCCUAAUUCAAACUGAGCUAUCUAUUACAACAGCUCCUAAUUCUUCACAUUUCUCUCUCUCUUUUAACAUGACAUAUUUGCUAUAGUCUGAAGCAACUGAUUAAAAACAAAACAAAACCUCAAAACCAAAAAGAAGCAAACAAAAAACCCCAAUCUGAAUUUACAGGUCAGUUCGAAAACUUGAAUACAUCCUCUAUGUCAUAUUCAUUGAAUAGCCUACUGGUCAGAUUACCCAGCUGAUAAACUGUAAAUUAUAAGUCUUUUUUGUGCACAAUGAAAGAGAUGAACAACAGCAUGAAAUACCUGAAGCUAUGAGUUGUCCAGUACCAAAAUGGACAAAAGUCCAAUUAUGAGGACUGCAAUCAAGAGCUACAGAAUUACCAUUGACUCAGGUUGUUUCCAUGGAAUAUUCUACAAAAGAAUUUAUCCAACAAAACCUUGAAGUAGGGGAGUGCUGGUAUUGCUAUCUACUCACUCCCAGAAUAAAUAACUCCAUUGAUCCAGAAAACUGACUACAUUUCUUGUAGCUAUAAAAAUUAAUCAAAAUUUUACCUGUAGUCUUUUACAUUUUUCUCUGCCACUUUUUCUUAUAUCUGUAUGCUUUUCUAAACCUAUUUUGCAACAAGUUAAGUUUUUGCACAUAGGAUUAGAAGGCAGGCAUAGAACAGUUAAAUAAUAGUUACUCAUUUUUUUCCAGUUCCAUUUCUGAUCCCCUCAUGCAUUUUUAUGCCUUGGUAUUGUAGAAACUCUGCCUUUGUACAGUUAUCCUAAGCUGAGUAUUGCAUCAGUCAAAGCCUAGGUAAAUCAAGAGUAGAGAGAUUAAAAAAUGUUACUGCAGCUGUUUAUUAUUUUUCCCUUGAGGUGACAUCAGAUAUCAAACCCUUGCAGUUUUUAAAACUGAGCCAAGGUAUAUACUGCAGCAGAUUGCCCAUCUGGUGUGACUUCAGAAUAUUAAAAUCUUCUGCAGGCUAUCAGCACACAGACGAGUCAAAAUCUUUGCAAUCACCCAGACAUCUUAUUUCACACUACACAGAGUUGUGUGAUCUCAAAUUAAGAUGUUCAAAAUCACCAUUAUUAGUUUGUGAUGAAUGUUGAUCAUAUCACCCAACCACAACAGUUAUGCAUUUCAUCUGUAGCUGUCCAGCCAAUACGCAGUUACUGAAAAAACGUUUUGUCUGUGAUCCAAAAUCUUACAGGAAAUCAAGAACUGUCAUUUACAGAGUGUGAAAUCAAACAACUUUCUAGACUCUGUUGAACAUUGUCACUGUAGAUUAAUGCCAUACAACUCCUAAGUGAUUGCAAAGCCAUGAUUUACAUAGGCUGAAUCUGAAUGAAUAUAGCUUGUAUAAUCUCCCAGUUUAAAAUAAAUGGUUGUACAAUGACAGACUUUGGUUUUAGAUACACAGACCACUUUCCUCUAU